AACGAACGCUGGCGGCAUGCCUAACACAUGCAAGUCGAACGAUGCUUUCGGGCUUAGUGGCGCACGGGUGCGUAACGCGUGGGAAUCUGCCCUUGGGUUCGGAAUAACAGUGAGAAAUUGCUGCUAAUACCGGAUGAUGUCUUCGGACCAAAGAUUUAUCGCCCAGGGAUGAGCCCGCGUAGGAUUAGCUAGUUGGUGGGGUAAUGGCCUACCAAGGCGACGAUCCUUAGCUGGUCUGAGAGGAUGAUCAGCCACACUGGGACUGAGACACGGCCCAGACUCCUACGGGAGGCAGCAGUGGGGAAUAUUGGACAAUGGGCGCAAGCCUGAUCCAGCAAUGACGCGUGAGUGAUGAAGGCCUUAGGGUUGUAAAGCUAUUUUACCCGGGAUGAUAAUGACAGUACCGGGAGAAUAAGCUCCGGCUAACUCCGUG
rnacentral:rRNA from 1 species